rnacentral:rRNA from 1 species
CACGGGUGAGUAACACGUAUCCAACCUGCCGUCUACUCUUGGACAGCCUUCUGAAAGGAAGAUUAAUACAAGAUGGCAUCAUGAGUCCGCAUGUUCACAUGAUUAAGGUAUUCCGGUAGACGAUGGGGAUGCGUUCCAUUAGAUAGUAGGCGGGGUAACGGCCCACCUAGUCUUCGAUGGAUAGGGGUUCUGAGAGGAAGGUCCCCCACAUUGGAACUGAGACACGGUCCAAACUCCUACGGGAGGCAGCAUG